rnacentral:sRNA from 1 species
CGAAGCUGAGACUCAAGGUCCCGAGAAAUGUCCAGUCAGAAGACACAGACGAGGCCAAGAGUGGUCACAGCUGAGGCCUUCAAGGUUCACAGAUGGGAAAGUCUGACUUCAGAAGACUUGGUGGUUUGUUGAGGCAACAUGGCAGCCGAGUGUCAGCGCUCAAGUCUCCACAUUUAACUAAGCCUUGCAGCCACCUCUGUUGGGGUCCUCACUUCUUCCCCAGGAUGAAACAUGAGGCCAAUAUUGAAGACAGAAGAUGGGAGAGUUUUCCAUGCACUCCCUGGUGGGGUGGGGUUCUCUGAGUGACUUCUUCAGAGUACGAAGAACAUCAGAUCUGGUUUCCGCUGCCAAGGAAUCGAUCUGUUGACAGAGCCGUUCUCUGCAUGUGUCCAUUUAAACACCCAUCCCUGUGUGGGAUUCAGGCUGACCGACUCCGUUUGCCAAAUGCAAAUGCAUUAACCUUCCGAUGGGAUAAUCUAAUAAAAAGGGUCGAUAGCA